AAAAGCGAAACCAAGGUAUUUCCUUCUCUUUCUAUUUUGGUAUCAUCUCUGCCAGCUGGUAUUCUCCGUGGCUCUAGUUCUUCCGAGACAGCUGGGAUACAAGGUUCUAGCUUCAGCUUAGUGCCCCCCGCUCCUGAGCUCCUGCUUUUGAACCCUGAACUUAGAAAUAGUGGUAACUUCCUAAGGCAGUUAACAUUUAUCCAGUCUCCAAACUAGCUCUAGCCACUCUGUCAUUGCCCUGGCUAUCCCUUUCCCUGGGCUCAAAUUUCAGCAGAUGCGCACAUCUACGACAUUACGAAAGCAUCUACACCAGUUUCCCUCAAAAUUCUUGAGCAUCCUGAGGCAAAGGAAACAAAAGUAAAAGUGAACUAUUGGGACCUCAUCAAGAUAAAAAGCUUCUGCACAGCGAAGUUAACAGUCAACAAAAAUAAAGGCAACCGAUAGAAUGGGAGAAUAUAUUUACAACUGACAUAUCAGAUAAAGAGUUAAUAUCCAAAGGGCGCCUUGGUGGCUCAGUCGGUUAAG